GCUCCAGUGGCCUAGUGGUUAGAGCGUCCGCCUCAGAUGCGGGAGGUCGUGCGUUCGAUCCUGACCGAGUCA